GGCAAAAGGGUGUCCAACCCGGUACUAGCAAGGUGUACCUAAUAAAGUGGUCACUGCAGUCACCCGGAUCCAGUACGUAUCCAGACCAGAUGGUGGAUCAGCACCUAUAAAGAACCUCUACAGCCCUGAAAGACAGCGGAGACCAGGACAACUAGAUGAGUCCCAGACACAGGGGAUCUGUAUCUGGGGCUCUAGUCCUGGUCUCUGCUGUCUUUCAGGGCUGUAGAGGUCCUUUCUAGAUGCUGAUCCACCAUCUGGGCUGGAUACGUACUGGAUCCGGGUGACUGCAGCGACCCUCUGACUUGGAUACAGACUGGAUCUGGUGGCUAUGGUGACCUCGGAAUAAGAGAGAAACAGACUAAUAUGAGCGUAGAUGCCAUUCUUCUAACGAUGUAGCAAGUACAUCGGGUGUUAUGGGAAGUGUUCCCGGUUCCGGUUUACCUAAUUAAUGCAGCCUAAAAAUCGGAUUUUUAACGGAUUUGGAUAUUAGAAGUGUAUUAGUAUGUUAUGUGUAAGCCAGGUUAAAGAGAUGGGUCUUUAAUCUAGAUUUAAACUGCAAGAGUGUGUCUGCCUCCCGAACAAUGUUAGGUAGGUUAUUCCAGAGUUUGGGCGCUAAAUAGGAGAAGGAUCUGCCGCCCGCAGUUGACUUUGAUAUUCUAGGUAUUAUCAAAUUGCCAGAGUUUUGAAAACGGAGCGGACGUGGAGGACUAUAAUGUAACAAGAGCUCGUUCAAAUACUGAGGUGCUAAACCAUUCAGGGCUUUAUAAGUAAUAAGCAAGAUUUUAAAAUCUAUACGAUGUUUGAUAGGGAGCCAAUGCAGUGUUGACAGGACAGGGCUAAUAUGAUCAUACUUCCUGGUUCUAGUAAGAACUCUAGCUGCUGCAUUUUGGACUAACUGGAGUUUGUUUACUAAGCGUGCAGAACAACCACCCAAUAGAGCAUUACAAUAGUCUAACCUUGAGGUCAUAAACGCAUGGAUUAACAUUUCUGCAUUUGACAUUGAGAGCAUAGGCCGU
ensembl:lncRNA